GGCGUGCCUAAUACAUGCAAGUCGAACGAACUCUGGUAUUGAUUGGUGCUUGCAUCAUGAUUUACAUUUGAGUGAGUGGCGAACUGGUGAGUAACACGUGGGAAACCUGCCCAGAAGCGGGGGAUAACACCUGGAAACAGAUGCUAAUACCGCAUAACAACUUGGACCGCAUGGUCCGAGUUUGAAAGAUGGCUUCGGCUAUCACUUUUGGAUGGUCCCGCGGCGUAUUAGCUAGAUGGUGGGGUAACGGCUCACCAUGGCAAUGAUACGUAGCCGACCUGAGAGGGUAAUCGGCCACAUUGGGACUGAGACACGGCCCAAACUCCUACGGGAGGCAGCAGUAGGGAAUCUUCCACAAUGGACGAAAGUCUGAUGGAGCAACGCCGCGUGAGUGAAGAAGGGUUUCGGCUCGUAAAACUCUGUUGUUAAAGAAGAACAUAUCUGAGAGUAACUGUUCAGGUAUUGACGGUAUUUAACCAGAAAGCCACGGCUAACUACGUGCCAGCAGCCGCGGUAAUACGUAGGUGGCAAGCGUUGUCCGGAUUUAUUGGGCGUAAAGCGAGCGCAGGCGGUUUUUUAAGUCUGAUGUGAAAGCCUUCGGCUCAACCGAAGAAGUGCAUCGGAAACUGGGAAACUUGAGUGCAGAAGAGGACAGUGGAACUCCAUGUGUAGCGGUGAAAUGCGUAGAUAUAUGGAAGAACACCAGUGGCGAAGGCGGCUGUCUGGUCUGUAACUGACGCUGAGGCUCGAAAGUAUGGGUAGCAAACAGGAUUAGAUACCCUGGUAGUCCAUACCGUAAACGAUGAAUGCUAAGUGUUGGAGGGUUUCCGCCCUUCAGUGCUGCAGCUAACGCAUUAAGCAUUCCGCCUGGGGAGUACGGCCGCAAGGCUGAAACUCAAAGGAAUUGACGGGGGCCCGCACAAGCGGUGGAGCAUGUGGUUUAAUUCGAAGCUACGCGAAGAACCUUACCAGGUCUUGACAUACUAUGCAAAUCUAAGAGAUUAGACGUUCCCUUCGGGGACAUGGAUACAGGUGGUGCAUGGUUGUCGUCAGCUCGUGUCGUGAGAUGUUGGGUUAAGUCCCGCAACGAGCGCAACCCUUAUUAUCAGUUGCCAGCAUUAAGUUGGGCACUCUGGUGAGACUGCCGGUGACAAACCGGAGGAAGGUGGGGAUGACGUCAAAUCAUCAUGCCCCUUAUGACCUGGGCUACACACGUGCUACAAUGGAUGGUACAACGAGUUGCGAACUCGCGAGAGUAAGCUAAUCUCUUAAAGCCAUUCUCAGUUCGGAUUGUAGGCUGCAACUCGCCUACAUGAAGUCGGAAUCGCUAGUAAUCGCGGAUCAGCAUGCCGCGGUGAAUACGUUCCCGGGCCUUGUACACACCGCCCGUCACACCAUGAGAGUUUGUAACACCCAAAGUCGGUGGGGUAACCUUUUAGGAACCAGCCGCCUAAGGUGGGACAGA
rnacentral:rRNA from 2 species